GACAUAGGGUGCAAACGUUGUUCGGAAUUACUGGGCGUAAAGCGUGCGCAGGCGGUUUUGUAAGUCAGAUGUGAAAUCCCCGGGCUCAACCUGGGCAUGGCAUUUGAGACUGCAAGGCUAGAGUGUGUCAGAGGGGGGUAGAAUUCCACGUGUAGCAGUGAAAUGCGUAGAGAUGUGGAGGAAUACCGAUGGCGAAGGCAGCCCCCUGGGAUAACACUGACGCUCAUGCACGAAAGCGUGGGGAGCAAACAGG
rnacentral:rRNA from 1 species